AUUGAACGCUAGCGGGAUGCCUUACACAUGCAAGUCGAACGGAGUGGCGAACGGGUGAGUAAUGUAUCGGAACGUGCCCAGUAGCGGGGGAUACCUACGCGAAAGGGUACCUAAUCCCGCUUACUAUUGGAGCGGCCGUUAUCGGAUUAGCUAGUUGGUGGGGGAACGGCCAACCAAGGCGACGACCCGUAGCUGGUUUGGGAGGACGACCAGCCACACUGGGACUGAGACACGGCCCAGACUCCUACGGGAGGCAGCAGUGGGGAAUUUGGGACAAUGGGGGAAACCCUGAUCCAGCCAUCCCGCGUGUGCGAUGAAGGCCUUCGGGUUGUAAAGCACUUUUGGCAGGAAAGCGGUACCUGCAGAAGAAGCACCGGCUAACUCCGUGCCAGCAGCCGCGGUAAUAC
rnacentral:rRNA from 1 species